GAUGAACGCUGGCGGCGUGCUUAACACAUGCAAGUCGAACGGAAAGGCUCCUGCUUGCAGGGGUACUCGAGUGGCGAACGGGUGAGUAACACGUGGGUGAUCUGCCCUGCACUUCGGGAUAAGCCUGGGAAACUGGGUCUAAUACCGGAUAGGACGAUGGUUUGGAUGCCAUUGUGGAAAGUUUUUCGGUGUGGGAUGAGCUCGCGGCCUAUCAGCUUGUUGGUGGGGUAAUGGCCUACCAAGGCGUCGACGGGUAGCCGGCCUGAGAGGGUGUACGGCCACAUUGGGCCUGAGAUCCGGCCCAGACUCCUACGGGAGGCAGCAGCGGGGAAUAUUGCACAAGGGGCGCAAGCCUGAUGCAGCGACGCCGCGUGGGGGAUGACGGCCUUCGGGUUGUAAACUCCUUUCGCUGGGGACGAAGCGCAAGUGACGGUACCUGGAGAAGAAGCCCCGGCUAACUACGUG
rnacentral:rRNA from 1 species